rnacentral:ncRNA from 1 species
UGCAUAUUCCACGGGAGCUUGGAGAAGCCAGGCUGAGAGGGCGGGAACUCUACGCCGACCGUUUAACCUGAUCUGGGUAAUGCCAGCGUAGGAAAUCAACGGGGUCACAGG